UAGUCUCUAAGGUGCCACAAGUACUCCUGUUCUAUAUUGUACUGUGGAUAUAAUCAAACCACUUUAGAAGUAGUCAGAUUUUUUUGGUCUCUGGGCAUAUUAAAGUUGUAAUCGACUGCUGAGCACUCUCCAAUUGACUCAGGUACUCCACUGGAGCAAGAAGUGUAGGUGGAGUCAAUGGGGAAGCACCAGAAGUUGACAUAUCACAAGUGAAGACACUGGGCCCGAUGCUGCAAGGUUCUGAGCAACCUCAAGUUCUGCAGAAGAAAAUGUACAUUGAGCAUGCCAAGUACUAUAGAAGUGCAACUCAACCAUCUUGUAAUACACAUUGAAGGGGACAACA